GCGGGUAUCGUAUAAUGGCUAUUACUUCGCUCUUCCAAGGCGAAGAAGCGGGUUCGAUUCCCGCUACCCGCU
rnacentral:tRNA from 1 species